GCAAACUUGGUCAUUUAGAGGAAGUAAAAGUCGUAACAAGGUUUCCGUAGGUGAACCUGCGGAAGGAUCAUUACUGAAUCGUCGAACGUGGGUUGUUGCUGGCCUUCAAACGGGGGCAUGUGCACGCUCCGUUUACACAUCCACUCACACCUGUGCACCUUCCGUAGUUUUAUGGUUGGAAGGCCUUGUCUUCCUUCUGUAGCUCUGCGUCUUUACACACGCUCUGUAACGAUGUCGUAUGGAAUGUUUUCUGCGUUUAACGCGAUACAAUACAACUUUCAGCAACGGAUCUCUUGGCUCUCGCAUCGAUGAAGAACGCAGC
rnacentral:misc_RNA from 1 species